AUGCGUAUGAAAUCAUCAAAUCCUCUUGUUGUAGGUAAUGUAAUUGGAGAUGUUUUAGAUCCAUUUGCAAAUUCAGUAUCUCUAAAGGUUGUUUAUGAAAAUAACAAAGAAGUGAUCAAUAGUGGUGAGCUCAAACCUUAUCAAACAGUGAACCCUCCAAGAGUUCAAGUUGGUGGAAAUGAUCUCAGGACUCUUUACACUCUGGUGAUGGUGAACCCCGAUGCACCAAGCCCUUGUCAUCCUCAUAUGAGAGAAUACCUUAUCUGGUAA